AAUCUACCUUAGUUACAGGGAUAGCCCGAGGAAACUCGGAUUAAUACCUGAUAUUCUUUAUAUUUCGCAUGAAAUUAAAAGGAAAGGUCAGCCGAACUAAGAUGAGCUCGCGUUCUAUCAGCUAGUUGGUGAGGUAAAAGCUCACCAAGGCUACGACGGAUAGCUGGUCUGAGAGGACGAUCAGCCACACUGGGACUGAGACACGGCCCAGACUCCUACGGGAGGCUGCAGCAGGGAAUAUUGCGCAAUGAGCGAAAGCUUGACGCAGCGACACCGCGUGUGGGAUGACGGAUCUAGGUUUGUAAACCACUUUCAGGAGGGAAGAAAAUGACGGUACCUCCAAAAGAAGCCCCGGCCAACUACGUGCCAGCAGCCGCGGUAAUACGUAGGGGGCGAGCGU
rnacentral:rRNA from 1 species